UACGUAGGGUGCAAGCGUUUGUCCGGAAUUAUUGGGCGUAAAGAGCUCGUAGGCGGUCUGUUGCGUCGGCUGUGAAAACCCGAGGCUCAACCUCGGGCCUGCAGCCGAUACGGGCAGACUAGAGUUCGGCAGGGGAGACUGGAAUUCCUGGUGUAGCGGUGAAAUGCGCAGAUAUCAGGAGGAACACCGGUGGCGAAGGCGGGUCUCUGGGCCGAUACUGACGC
rnacentral:rRNA from 1 species